CCUACGGGUGGCUGCAGUGGGGGAUAUUGCACAAUGGGGGGAACCCUGAUGCAGCGACGCCGCGUGGGUGAAGGAGCGUUUCGGCGCGUAAAGCCCUAUCGGCAGGGAAGAAGAUGACGGUACCUGACCAAGAAGCCCCGGCUAACUACGUGCCAGCAGCCGCGGUAAUACGGAAGGCCCGAGCGUUAUCCGGAUUCAUUGGGCUUAAAGGGAGCGUAGGCGGGCGUUCAAGUCAGCUGUAAAAUCGCGCGGCUCAACCGCGCCCCGCAGUUGAAACUGGACGCCUUGAGUUCACACCAGGCAGGCGGAAUUCGUGGUGUAGCGGUGAAAUGCAUAGAUAUCACGAGGAACCCCGAUUGCGAAGGCAGCCUGCCGGGGUGCGACUGACGCUGAGGCUCGAAGGUGCGGGUAUCAAACAGGAUUAGAUACCCUAGUAGUC
rnacentral:rRNA from 1 species